GGGAGAGUGGAGGUCCCUGACCUGGAAUGGGCCUUGAAGGAAAGAGGAGGAGAGGGAAGGAAGGAUCCUUCAGGUGGGGGAAAUGUGCAGAGCCAAGGAGUUUGGGCUUAUGGGGUGAGAAAUGGGGAGCCACAGAAGGUGCUUGAGCAGACCACCACCCUGGUGUGCGAUGCAGUUUAGGAAGGCUCGUCUGGAAGCAGAGGGAAGGCAGACAGGAGGGAAAGAGACUGGGUCUGGGGUUCCAGUGCCAAGACUAGGUAGGCACCUGGGACAGGAUCGAGCCUCUAAACUGCAGGAGGAACCAGGAACCAGACAGCACACGCUGAUGCAUCAGAUGCGUGCCCCACUUAACCACCACUGAAUGAAGAUACGGAACAUUUGCAUCAUCUCAGAAAGUUCCCUCAUGCUCCUCUGCAGUCCAACUCCCAGACCAGCACUGAUCUAAUUUCUGUAGAUUAGUAUUGCCACUUUUGGAAUUUCAUAUGAAUAGAAGCAUUCGGAUCUGAUGCCACAGAAAUGGGUGACUGAGACAUCCCCCACAUACAACUCUGCCUGAGAGCGGCUGACACCUGCACAGGGACGAUAACAAGUCAGAACCUUCAGCAGCGUGGGGACCAGAACUCCCGCCCUACCAGCCAAGAGCACCCAGAUGGCUGAGAUGGUUCUUGCUUAUUCACAUCUCCAAGGAUAAAGAAAGCCUACCUGAGCCUCCCUGUGGCCUGUCCCAGCCUUUACUGGAAGGGAGUCCAUCUGGUGGUUUAACCUCAAUCCCUUCUUAAUCUAGUCUUCCGUCACUGACUUCAGGAAGACCUCCCUGGGGACAACCAAGCUGAUGAAACACCUGUUUUAGUCCAGAGAGGUAUUUGACAUCUUGAACGUGGACACAUGUGCUUGGACAAGGAGAAAAUGAGAACCUCCCAACAAUGGGAAAGUAAGACUUCCACUCCGAUGGGUAUGGCAUGAGGAGUUAUCCCCCUCGUGACCCAAGGUCAGUGUUAGGACUGGGCACUAGCUCCCGACAGUGGUCCCAGAAGUAACGUGGUCACCAGCUCUGAACCCAGUCACCAAAGGAAUCACUCAAGUUUUCCCAGGUCAGAAAAGAAGAUCUGGGGUGCAGACCCCCCAGAGGCUCAGCAUCUCCCCAACCCGGUUCCAAAAGAACAUAAGGGUCAGGCUCUCCCAGACUCCUGUGGGAAGAGGAGUCCCGCCAAAUGCAGCAGGACACAGAGAUCCCUCCACCUGCCCAGGAGUCCAGCUCCGGGCUGCCUCCCCAACCCACACUGACGGGCUACAUGAUCACGAACAAUCCAGUCUCCCCGAAUCUUUCUAUUUGCCCUUUCAGUGUGAGGCCUCUUUUUACCCUGCCUUCUAACCAACAGUGUUCUGGAACCAGUUCACAGAGCCUGUUUGACAUAUUUCUAGCCAACCCUAAAUGCAGUCACAGCCGGCCAUGCCGGAAGAUUUUACACCACCGAAACUGGCAAACCCUGUAAAUGGGACUUUUGUUUCCUUCCGAGAGCUGGUUGUUAAACAUUUACCCGCAAGCAAUUGCCCCUAACUAAAUUAUACAAGAGGCGUAUUGGAAAUCAGGCAGUAGACCUCAGCUAAAAGUAUUCUCCUUGGCCUCCCCUCAGUGCAAGGAGGGUCCCUCCAGCUUGGUGUUCUGGGGGCCAGGAGAGAACAAAGUGGGUUAUGGUCCUGGGUGUCUCGGUCCAUUUCCUGGAUGUACCAGUCUCUCCCCUCCCCCAGCUGGGAACACCCCAAGAACAGGCCUCUCCCUUUCAUUAACAGAGUCCCCCCGGAGGGACCACAACCAGGGACAUUUGUCAUGCAAACGAGCUGGAUCCUGAAUGGUGAGAUCCAUUUGGGGCACUCACUGCCUCAAAUGUGAUGGGGGGCGGGAAGUGGGGGGUGAAUGACCCACACCUGAAACUUGGCAUUUCAACCUCAUUAAUCUGCCUCUGGAUCACGCGGUCUGCGCAGUAAUCUCCUCCAUGGCAGGGUCUCCCCACGCCACAUCACCAUGACUUUCAUCUCCCCAUAUUAAAAAGAAGCAGAGAUUCUCCUGAGGCUCAGGACGGGGUGUCCCAGCAAUUCAGACACCACAGAUGGUUGGAGGUUGUACAGGGCUCAGCCUGCGCAACCAUACAUGUUAGUCCUGCCCAGCCACUAAAACCUCAGAGCUGUGUGCCCUUCUGUUACCAUCUCUAGGGAUCAGAAUCCCCAGACAAAAGAGGCUUUGUUAAUAUAUGCCUGGCAUCCUUCCCACUGCCGUGUCUAGGAGGCAGGUGUCCUAUGCCCCUCACCUUGCUGCAGCACCAGGACUCAGCCCCAGCCCGGCUGUAUCUAGCAAUGUCAUCAGAGUUAGCCUAGAUGUCAGUCACAGUGCAGCCCAUGUUCAGGUCCCGGCUGUUAUCCAGUUUGGUGAUGACUGAGGUAUCUGAGAUGCGGGCUUUGGUGACUCUCAUUUCCUGUGGGGCCGACAGCCAUUCAUAUCACCUGUACCAUCGAGAGCCAGGUAGAACAGAGCUCACAUUCCCCCUUCACACACACACACACACACACACACACACAGAGCCACCAUUUCAAAGCCUUCAUGCCUGCAGACCCCUCUGUCCGCUUCCUCUGUUCAAAGUCUGGCCUGGGACAGAGUGAAGACGGAUGACUAAUGUCCUCCCUGCCAGUGCUCACCUCCCCCCCUACGGUGUUCUGGAAGCCGAUCUCCCCCACCAGGCCGUCAGCAUCGGCCUCCUGGUCUCCCUUGCGCACGUAGGCACAAUUAAGCUCCUGGAAACAACGCACAGGCAGUUGUUAGUUGUUGCAGAGAUUUUCCAGGGGACUCUACCUCCCCCAGGCCAACCCUGGGAAAUUUCCAAUCCCAUUUCCAGCCCUACAGAGCCGGUCAUGGGCAUAGAUCCAGAAGUCAAGGGUUGGGGAACUAAGCUCUCCCUCUCACUCUAGCAAAACGUAGUAUAUGACUUUGGGGAAUUCUUUUAUCUCGCUGGGCCGCUCUGUAAAGGAAGAUCCAGAGAAUCUCUGCCCUGUGGGUCUCCCAGGGUAUAAGGAAGAAAAUGCCUUUCCAUGGGUAGAAAUAAAAUAUGAGCUUAUUAACUGA